GUGGGGAAUAUUGGACAAUGGGCGAAAGCCUGAUCCAGCCAUGCCGCGUGUGUGAAGAAGGUCUUCGGAUUGUAAAGCACUUUAAGUUGGGAGGAAGGGUUGUAGAUUAAUACUCUGCAAUUUUGACGUUACCGACAGAAUAAGCACCGGCUAACUUCGUGCCAGCAGCCGCGGUAAUACGAAGGGUGCAAGCGUUAAUCGGAAUUACUGGGCGUAAAGCGCGCGUAGGUGGUUUGUUAAGUUGGAAGUGAAAGCCCCGGGCUCAACCUGGGAACUGCUUUCAAAACUGGCAAGCUAGAGUAUGGCAGAGGGUGGUGGAAUUUCCUGUGUAGCGGUGAAAUGCGUAGAUAUAGGAAGGAACACCAGUGGCGAAGGCGACCACCUGGGCUAAUACUGACACUGAGGUGCGAAAGCGUGGGGAGCAAACAGGAUUAGAAACCCCAGUAGUCC
rnacentral:rRNA from 1 species